GGGCGCUUGGUUUAGUGGUAUAAUAUGUCAUUCGCACUUGCAAUUGCUUAGUAACACGCACACGCGGCGUACGCAUGCACGCAUUGACGGGGUCGCCGGUUCGAUUCCGGCAGCGUCCA